rnacentral:misc_RNA from 1 species
UCGAGUCCCUCUCUGUGAGACUGAGAACAUGUAGCUUUACCCAUCGAAGAGGCUGGGGUUGCAAGCACGCUUCUCCUCUCUAGAUGGAYGCCCUUUGCCGCCCCUGCCUUGCUWUCGUUCGAGGCGAGACAGAGWGCGGGAAUAAGACCCCGGCGCGGUUUGCGCCAAGGAUGCUUUUUGUUGGAGCGCGUUGCCUUCUUUUUGUUGUGCGAUGCGUUCCUACUAGUUUCAGAAUAUGCAUGACUCUUGGCAACGGAUAUCUAGGCUCUCGCGUCGAUGAAGAACGUAGCGAAAUGCGAUACUUGGUGUGAAUUGCAGAAUCCCGUGAACCAUCGAGUCUUUGAACGCAAGUUGCGCCCAAGACCAUCAGGUCGAGGGCACGUCUGCUUGGGCGUCACGCCUUGCGUCACUCGGAGCACCUUCCUGUCACGCAGUUUCUGGUGUAUCUUGAUGUGGAUAUUGACCCUCCGCGUUAUGCGCGGUGGGUUCAAGUGAUUGGCGGCGCUGGGUUUCCACGCGACGGAAUGGUGGAUAGGUUAUACGCUUUAAGCCUCCGGUUGUGCACGUGACUCCCUAGCCAUGACUUACAUGAAGUGGAACCCAUAACGAUGUUUGCGCCUUUUGCAAGAUCGGACC